GAGGUGGGCGGCAGAGGAUGCCCACCUCCUGUUGCCCCUACCUGGUAGCCUGAGCUGUAGUGGACGGGCAGCAAGGUGACAAGGAUAGGACUCCUGUGUCCCUGCCUUUCCCUCCUAAAUAGUUGUCCAUGGAGGAAUUUUGAAAAAGCAGACUUGCAUCAUUUUCUCACCUCUGGCUUCCCUGGCCGUGCCCUUCCUGUCUCUUACAGUUCCCCCUCUGUCCUCCCCACAGCCCUGUGUGAGGAUCAAGUGAAGCAAGAAUGGCAGGCCGUGGAGAAGGGGCUGAAUCAAAUGUGGAAGAUAGAAAGAGAAGCUCUGGGAUAUGGCUUUGCCUUCUAGCCUGGCAGAUGAAAGUGUUCAAGGUGAAGCCCUGAAUAGAAAACAAGACUGGCCUUGCAAGAGGAAAUCCUGCUGGCAGAUGGCCUUUGAACUUGAAAUGAAGCAUUGGCUCUUCCCUGGUCUCCAGCCUGCUAACCCACCCUGCAGAUUUUGGACUUGCAAACCUCCAUAAUCACGGACACUUUCAUGCCUGUAACGAUCGGCUUGGAUCUGCCAGGAAAACUCCCCUAACUGCUGCGCUGGGCAGCAAGUGAAAAAAAGCUGGCAAUGAGACCAGAAUUACAAACAAUGUAGCAUGCCCUUGCCAAGAUAUAAAUACAGAGGAAACAUUCAAAAGGACAGUAUCAAAUUAUCUGCAAAGAUGAAGAAAGUAAUGACUUACAUUCUCCAUCCUCUGGCUGGGUGACUCACUAAAGUGGAAAAUGAGGCAGCUGGAGAUUAUAGUUACCCCCAAAAGAGAUAAACGAUGGACUGUGGAGGAGCCAUUCCAAGUAGACAAGUUAACAUGCCACCAGCACAUUUGGGACAGGAGGUGGCAGCUCAGUGUUUUGUGUCUCCUUGUGUUUUCCAGAAUCUUCAAUAAAGAAAGUUCAACCCUGGCUCACCAUACCUCUUCUGGUUCGUGAAUAUUUUAAGAAGCACCCAGCGUGUGCAGGGUGUCGUGUAGGAGAUGCAGAUGGCAAUUGUCGUGCCUGCAUGCUUGGUAGAACACUGGGUAGAACACUGGCCCACCUUACUUGAAGUUUUUUUUUGCACACUAUUUUUUUUUUGUAAUGGUCUUACUGAGAUAUAAUUCACACAUCAUACAAUCCACCCAUUUGUAUUUUGUUUUCUAUGUUUGUUUACUUGUUGAAAAUCUGUCUCAUUUCAUAGACUACAGGCUCUGUGAAAACAACCACCAUGCAUGCUUUGCUCAUUAAUGUGUACCCGACAUUUAUCAUAGUACACAAUCCAGCCUCUCAAUAACUACAUAUUCUUAGUAAAUU